ACAUGCUGAAAACCCCAACUUCGGGAGGGGUGUAUUUAUUAGAUAAAAAACCAACGCCCUUCGGGGCUUCUUGGUGAUUCAUGAUAACUUUACGGAUCGCAUGGCCUUGCGCUGGCGACGGUUCAUUCAAAUUUCUGCCCUAUCAACUUUCGAUGGUAAGGUAUUGGCUUACCAUGGUUUCAACGGGUAACGGGGAAUUAGGGUUCGAUUCCGGAGAGGGAGCCUGAGAAACGGCUACCACAUCCAAGGAAGGCAGCAGGCGCGCAAAUUACCCAAUCCCGACACGGGGAGGUAGUGACAAUAAAUACUGAUACAGGGCUCUUUUGGGUCUUGUAAUUGGAAUGAGUACAAUUUAAACCUCUUAACGAGGAACAAUUGGAGGGCAAGUCUGGUGCCAGCAGCCGCGGUAAUUCCAGCUCCAAUAGCGUAUAUUAAAGUUGUUGCAGUUAAAAAGCUCGUAGUUGAAACUUGGGUCUGGCUGGCGGGUCCGCCUCACCGCGUGUACUUGUCCGGCCGGGCCUUCCUUCUGGAGAACCUCAUGCCCUUUACUGGGCGUGUUGGGGACCAGGACUUUUACUUUGAAAAAAUUAGAGUGUUCAAAGCAGGCCUUUGCUCGAAUACGUUAGCAUGGAAUAAUAGAAUAGGACGUGCGGUCCUAUUUUGUUGGUUUCUAGGACCGCCGUAAUGAUUAAUAGGGACAGUCGGGGGCAUCAGUAUUCAAUUGUCAGAGGUGAAAUUCUUGGAUUUAUUGAAGACUAACUACUG
rnacentral:rRNA from 1 species